UCCUUUAGAAUUUUAUUUAAGGUUUGACCUGCCCACUGAUUUAUUGAAUGGCCGCAGUAUUUUAACUGUGCAAAGGUAGCAUAAUCCUUUGUUUUUUAAUUGGAGGCUGGAAUGAAUGGUUGGACGAAAUAUUGACUGUUUCACUUUAAUUUUUUAUAGAAUUUUAUUUUUUAGUUAAAAAGCUAAAAUUUAUUUAAAAGACGAGAAGACCCUAUAAAUCUUUAUAUUUCUGUAAAAAAGGAAUUUUUAGGUUGUAUUUAUUUUGUUUUUUUAAUAAUAUUUUAUUGGGGUGAUGUUAAAAUUUAAUGAACUUUUAAUUAUAAUUUUCAUUUAUUUAUGAGUGUUUGAUCCAUUAUUGGUGAAUAAAAAAAUAAGUUACUUUAGGGAUAACAGCGUAAUUUUUUUGGAGAGUUCUUAUCGAUAAAAAGGAUUGCGACCUCGAUGUUGGAUUAAGAGAUGUAUUUGGGUGU
rnacentral:rRNA from 1 species